GACGAACGCUGGCGGCGUGCUUAACACAUGCAAGUCGAACGGAAAGGCCCUGCUUUUGUGGGGUGCUCGAGUGGCGAACGGGUGAGUAACACGUGAGUAACCUGCCCUUGACUUUGGGAUAACUUCAGGAAACUGGGGCUAAUACCGGAUAGGAGCUCCUGCUGCAUGGUGGGGGUUGGAAAGUUUCGGCGGUUGGGGAUGGACUCGCGGCUUAUCAGCUUGUUGGUGGGGUAGUGGCUUACCAGGCUUUUGACGGGUAGCCGGCCUGGGAGGGUGACCGGCCACAUUGGGACUGAGAUACGGCCCAGACUCCUACGGGAGGCAGCAGUGGGGAAUAUUGCACAAUGGGCGGAAGCCUGAUGCAGCAACGCCGCGUGCGGGAUGACGGCCUUCGGGUUGUAAACCGCUUUCGCCUGUGACGAAGCGUGAGUGACGGUAAUGGGUAAAGAAGCACCGGCUAACUACGUG
rnacentral:rRNA from 1 species